CGCGGAAGCGGAUUUCGGGAGCGAAGGUCCCCUCGGGGAAGCUGGACUCAGGAUCCAUCUUUACUUCCCUCCAAAGCUCCACCUACACCAAAUAUUAAGGCCGCAGCACUCUCUCAUUGCUGACCGCCUUGCUGCACUUUCUGCUGGCCACCUUCAGCUACCAGCACACUUAACAUUUCACGUGAUUCUGUUGGACAGCGUGAGUCCAGAGCCGAGUCAGUUCCUGCUUUGGGAGCAGAGGGUCCUCCGUGUGGGGUGUCCUGCCCGCGAGACCUUGGGCAGCAUCUCCAGCGUCGUCCACCAGAUGGCAGUAGCUCCCCUCUCUCCAACACGACUUUGCCAGAGUCCCCAAGGGCUUGGAGUAACCCCAUCUGUCCAUAUGCUGCAGGUACGUGGGGAGUUUCUUGCCUUUCGGGAGGUCUGAGGUCUUCUGCCAGCGUUCAGUAGGUGUUCUGUAGGAGUUGUUCCACGCGUAGAUGUAUUUCUGAUGUAUUUGUGGGGAGGAAGAUGAUCUCCGCGUCUUACUCUUCCGCCAUCUUGAAGCUCCCAAGCCAUGUGUUUUCUGCUGAUGAAAUUCAUAGAUGAGAUGUCACAGCCCAUAUGUUCACUUCAACUGACUUUCCAGGGUCUUCUGCGUUUCCACAAAGUUACAUAAUCGGAAAAUUAAUCUUCCAGCAGCUUCCAGCCGGUCGUCACACUGGGGUCUGAAAGGCGGAGCAGCCACCAGACUGUCAGCCCAGGAGCUCCACUGGGUGAAGGUGAGGAGGGCUGAGGCUGCCUCCUCACGUCUCCUUGCCUAUGAUGAGCUGACUCUCCCUGCAUCUUAUCCUCCUGGACCCAGCACCUCCUUUGGAGUCCCACGCCCACUGCUCCAACUCAAGUCCACGUUCUAGAACACCAUGUAGGUAACAGAGCCAAAGACAUAUCCGAUCGAUAUGACCAAACAAGAACUGACACUGGUGAUAAGGGGCGGGGGGGAGGUUACAGCACACGCCGAGGCUGCUGGAAAAGAAGGGAAUUCUUAAUAUGCAGUGGAAUGGAUGAACCUGGAGGACAUACGCCCAGGGAAAUGAGCCAUCACAGGACAAGCACACAUGAUCCCACUCACAUGGGGCAUCUGAAAGGGUCACAUUCAUGGGAUCAGGGACUGGAACGGUGGGCAUCAGGGCUGGGGAGGUGGAAGUGGGGAGGGACGUUAGUCAGAGAGACAGGAGCCGAACCGUACAUGGUGCCCGGAGUCGACAACACUGGAGUGGGGAGCCCGGCACCCGGCUGAGGCUGGCUGCUCCCACCUCAGACCAGAUGCUCUCAGGUGCCUGGCAGGGCAACUGUGUUGACUCUGUUAGGAAAUCCAUGGGCUUCCUUACAGGAGGUUACCUGUGAAGGUCUGUUUUUAGCUUCCCCUGUACCGUUUGCAUAAUUCUGGCACUUCCUGGCAUUCUCUCCCCUUGGGGUGCUGGCUUCUCCCUGUUCUGCCCACGGAGAUGUUAGGCCUGCAACUGGCUUCCCCUUCAAAGGUCUCAAAUACACCUGUCCCCCUUCACCGCGCAGCCCCAAGGGAUUGUGUUUGUCUUGUUUCCCUAAUUGGCAGGUUGCGUUCCUGCUGGGGAGAUGCAGCGUUUAGAAGGAUUAAGCAGGAUUGGUUUUCAGUCCCUUUGGUACAUUGUCCAAAGGCAUCUUUGCGUUUACUUUCGAUUUCACAAGCUGCUUCUUGCUGUUUAAACAGAUGAUUGUCCAGUAGGAAGUUUCAGCUGCAGCUGCUUCCUGCUUUGAAUCCCAGCCUCACAGAGUUUAUUUAAGUAAGAUUUUUCUCAACCUGUGAAGCACAAUUCCUAAGGCACAGAGGAGAAGCAAUGUCUGCACCUCAUCUGUACAAUGUGGUCGAGUGCCAAGUGCCACAGAAUGUCCCGCAGAGGCCACGGGGGAGUGACCCCUGGGGAAACGGUGCUCCAAGCUUGAUGUACUGUAACGUCGUAGGAAAGAGAAAGAAGUGCCACAAAUGAGGUCUUGUCACGGAUGGAGCUAGUGUAACCCUGGGAGACAGGAGGCUGCGGAAGAGCCUCCUGGGGAGGGGUCGGAGCUACUGAGACGGCUGAAGAAUAGAAGGAAGAAGAUACAGACGCAGAAAUGCCCUCUGGCCGAGUCAGCAAGGAGGGCACCGCCAGGAGCACGAGUUAUACACACGUUAUUUUCCCAUCAUCUCCACAUCAUUCCCUGGCCCCCGAGUCACUUAACCGCUUUGCACUGUGCGUGCUCAGCACCCUGAGUGACUUCAGGUUUGCUCCCUGUGUCCAGGACAGCGUUUCCCACCUGCUUCUCCUACUUCUGAUGGCGUCUGUAGGAGCUUUUCACCUCCUGGCUUCUUCCUCCUCCGUCUGCUCCUGAUCCUCUGUCCUUGUCCUGCAGUCUCUCCUUGGAGCCCUUACAGCUCUUCCUUCUGCUUUUUUCCUGGGAGAGCUUGUCUUGACUCUAAGUUUGUUUAGUGAUGUUAUUUCUUUGAGUGAUUUCUUAUUUCUUUGUCUUUUUGCAUUUUUGAAAAAAAAUUAAAGAUACAGGAAAAGUAUAAAGAAUUUUUACAAAACACAUUGUUUCCAUAACGCAAAUUUAACUAUAUAUUUUGUCAUACUUGUUUCUAAUCCUUUUAAAAGAAAAAAUACAUAAUAGAUAUAGCUUAGGAAUCCUUUACGAACAACACAGAGGCCUGUCCUCACUCACCCAGUGGUAAACAGUUUGGUGGUUUGUAUUUUUAUAUUCCUUUUUUAAAAAUUUACAUAUGUACAUGUGUCCAUUAUACAAACUUAUUUUUGAAAGUGUUACUUUACAUUAAGUGGCACCAUGCUGUAUUAAUUAUUCUGCCCCUUUCUCUUUCACACUAUGUUCGUGAUCACAAAGUCCUAUAUUACCUAUAUUUCAUCCUACUAGUUUUUGGUUGGUCACAUUUAGGCUUUAAUUUGUCGUAUUCAUAAAGCAGGAUUCUUGUUUAACAGGUUUUCCUGAUAAAGAGACCCAGUCUCCCCACAUUAUAUAUUGAAUGUCCGUGUUUCCUACUGACCUGUGACGUCACCACCAUCAGAUUACCAAAUUCCCAAAUACACACAAGACUGCUUCUGAGCUCUCCUUUUCCCUUGGUCUGUUUUUCUACUGCUGUACUGUUGUCACAAUCUUUAUGACUGUACCUUUGAUAUAUUCACUUUCUUGUAAAUUCUCCCAAUUUGGCUUUUUCUCAAAAAAAGAGUUUUUGGUAUUUUUGCUUCUCAAAUUUUUUUAACCUUAUAUUAUAGAAAAUUUUAAACAUACAAAAAUAGACCCAAUAGGAUAGCCCAAUUCCAGCUGCAGUGAUAAUCAAUUCAUGCCCGAUCUGUUUUCAUCUAUGCCUCCCCCUUGGUCCCCCCACCCCUGCCCCAUAUUCUUCUGAAGCCAAUUACAGGUAGUAUAUCAUUCCAAGCAUUUCUUUUUUUUUUUUAAUUUUAUUUAUUUAUUUAUUUUUGGAUGCAUUGGGUCUUUGUUGUGGUGUGCGGGCUUCUCACUGUGGUGCCUUCUCUUGUUGCAGAGCAUGGACUCUAGGCGUGCAGGCUUCAGUAGUUGUGGCAUGCAGGCUCAGUAGCUGUGGCUCUCGGGCUCAGUAGUUGUGGCUCGCGGGCUUAGUUGCUCCACGGCAUGUGGGAUCUUCCCGGACCAGGGCUCGAACCCAUGUCCCCUGCAUUGGCAGGCGGAUCCUUAACCACUGCACCACCAGGGAAGCCCCCAGGGAAGCCCCCAAGCAUUUCUUAAGCUAUUUCUUUACACAUAUUCUCUAAAAUCAGUUUUUUAAGUUCCCCAUAUAUUUUGAUGGAGUUUUGAUUGAAUUUUCAUUGAAUUUAAAGAUUUUGGAGAAUUCACUUACAAAAUUGAAUCUUUCUAUCCACGAAAUUGGGUAAAAUUUCUAACCGUGAAAUUUUUCCCCAUUUAUUAAAUUCUUCCUUUAUAUUUUUUAGUAACACGCUUGUUGUUUUCUCUGUGAAGAUCUUGCACGUUUGUUAGAUUUUGCCGCAACUAUGAAUGCCAUAGAUUUUGCUGUGGCUAUGAAUGAUGCAGUUUAAAUUAUAAUUCCCACUUGGUUAUUGCUACUGUAAAGAAAUGAUAUGAAUUUUGUGCAUUGCUCUUGUCCUCUGCAAAUCUUGCUAAACUUUUAUUUUUUUAUUUUAUUUUUUAAUAAAUUUAUUUAUUUUUGGCUGCGUUGGGUCUUCGUUGCUGCACACGAGCUUUCUCUAGUUGCGGCGAGCGGGGGCUACUCUUUGUUGCGGUGCGUGGGCUUCUCAUUGCGGUGGCUUCUCUUGUUGCGGAGCACAGGCUCUAGGCAUGCGGGCUUCAGUAGUUGUGGCACACGGGCUCAGUAGUUGUGGCUCACGGGCUCUAGAGUGCAGGCUCAGUAGCUGUGGCGCACAGGCUUAGUUGCUCCGUGGCUCGUGGGAUCUUCCUGGACCAGGGCUCGAAGCCGUGUCCCCUGCAUUGGCAGGCAGAUUCUUAACCACUACACCACUAGGGAAGCCCUAAACUUUUAUUAAUCUGAGUAGUUUAUUCAUAGAUUCUCUUGGAUUUUAUAGAUAGACAAUCGUAUCAUCUGCAAGAAAAUGAUAGCUUUGCUUUCUCUCAUCCCUUAUAACUCAUGGUUUUAAUUUUUUAUUUUACUGCAAAGGCUUGUUCUCCAGUGCACUGUUGAGAAGAGUAGUGAUAACUGGCUGUCGCGCUUGUCCCUCACGUUCAUGACUCUUGUACAUUCCCCAUCUGCCUAACAUCUUCUCCCUACCCAGCUGGGCAGCAUGUCUCCACCUGGCCCCGAGCUGACUCUGGGCAGUCAGCAUUCAUCUUUGAGGGAAGUGGGUCUGCUGAGCCAGGCUGGUCCUGAAGGCCCGUGGGGGCAGGGACAGGGCUGAGCUGCAGAGAGACCACGACACCACCUGGGUUUGCUGUCGUCCCCUGCAGGAUCCCCUAAUUCACACAGGGUGACGGUGGCCACACCCUCCCCGCCCACCUCCCCUUGGCCGACUCUUAGCUAAAAGGCUGGGUCAUAGGCCAAAGAACUAGCACGCAGACUGGCCUUCAGUUUUACCUCCCGCCAUGUGAGAGGGGUCUCAGCUCCCCCUUCUCAGGCCCAUCAGCCCAGGGAAGCCCUACCUACCUCUGGGACAGAGCCAGGGUCCACGACCAGUUCAAACAGGGGUAGGCAUCGCCAGCCGAGCGGUGCAUGGAUUUGCCCAGGCCCUCAUCCCUGAUGCAUGACGGGUCCCCGAGACGCCACCGCUUUCUCUCCCCUGCCCUGCUCCUUGCCUUCGGUGUGUGGCAGGGACAGGACGCUCAGAUGGGGUGAGGGGCAGGCGACCCUGGGGUGCGGGAGACCCUGGGCGUUCAUGCUUCCUUAGCUCCUUCCCCUCCUGCCCCUGAUUCCCAGAGUUGUAAAACUCUGGGUUGUAAAACGUGGGUUCCAUUUCCCAGCUUCCUGUACAGUGAUGUUGAGAGGGCCCAGGAGUCCGCUUUUCCAUAUUCUCACCUCAAGACAUUUGAACAGUUAAUACUUUAGCAGCAGAAGAUAAGCCACCACAUAAGCAGUAAGUUUCUUGGUUAGAAAACAAGCCAUCAGAGAAAAAAUAGUUUUUGCGGAGAAGGAGGAAUAGUGGGUGGGCUGAGUUUUUAUCUUUUGUAUAGUAGAUAAGAUAUGUCUGCACAACGGCAGCUAACAUUUUCAAAUAGGAAGGCAUAUGAUUAAAUCUCUUUUGAUGUUAUCUGCAAAUUGUUUCUCUGAGCUCCGCUUCCAAAGGGUAGCUCUCCAGUUAGAGUCAGAGAUGAUUAUUGUGAAGUUAGCCCUCACUGUCUACUGCUUAGACAGGUGACUUCCUCUUUAAAGCGCUAAUUAGCCCUACAUGCAGUAUCUUGUAUCGUAUGGGACCUUCAGCAUUUUGUUCUUUUCUAAUUAGAAUCAUCUCUCCUCAUGCUUCUCCAAUAAAAUGGAGAAACUGUUGGGAGUUCUUUGCUGCUCCCUCCCAAGGCCCCUGUGAUCUGCCACGAGGCGUGGACAGUCCUGCCGCUGCGGCUCCCCUGCCCCCGGGCAGUUCAUUCCAUCCCCAGGGCUGAUGAUUUAGUAAGUUCAUUUCCACUCAGCAAAUUUACUAACACCUCUCUUGAAGUAAUAGAUUGUUCACUCUUGACGACUUGUUAUUAUUAUUGAAAUGGACCUUAAAUUAGGGUCAGGGAUCCCUAAACCUCUAAUGGUCACUAGUGAGCAAAACGAAGGUUAAGGAGUGAGGACAUGUUAGGUACGAUGUCCUCACACCUUCGUUUUGCUCACUAGUGACCCUUAGAGAUCAGUUUAGAGACUCUUGAUGUUAGGUCCUUGUUUUGAAGGGUUAAUUAAAUGACAUUAUAUAAACCACCUUGACGUGCUUUAAAAAACAUUUCCAUCCCUCUUUUCCGAGUGAACUCCAGUUCCUGGCCGAUCCACGGGUGACGGCUGUGCUGUGGCUUUGGCGUGGGGCCUUCUGACAGCUGUGCUGACGAGGACAGUGUGUGGCUCUCGGGGACGCUCACAGUGCACCGGGCUCUGCCCAAGUCCGAAGAAGACUGAUCACCGUGCACUCAGCCAUCACUACACUG